GAUCUUGGUGGCACUUGGUCCAAAGGCUUUCUUCAUCCCCUCAUACAUGUCACGAAUGUCUCCGCAGUCCGC